rnacentral:rRNA from 1 species
CCUACGGGAGGCUGCAGUGGGGAAUAUUGGACAAUGGGCGAAAGCCUGAUCCAGCCAUGCCGCGUGUGUGAAGAAGGCCUUCGGGUUGUAAAGCACUUUCAGUGGGGAAGAAAGCCUUGGGGCUAAUACCCUCGAGGAAGGACAUCACCCACAGAAGAAGCACCGGCUAACUCCGUGCCAGCAGCCGCGGUAAUACGGAGGGUGCGAGCGUUAAUCGGAAUUACUGGGCGUAAAGCGCGCGUAGGCGGUCUGAUAAGCCGGUUGUGAAAGCCCCGGGCUCAACCUGGGAACGGCAUCCGGAACGGUCAGGCUAGAGUGCAGGAGAGGAAGGUAGAAUUCCCGGUGUAGCGGUGAAAUGCGUAGAGAUCGGGAGGAAUACCAGUGGCGAAGGCGGCCUUCUGGACUGACACUGACGCUGAGGUGCGAAAGCGUGGGUAGCAAACAGGAUUAGAUACCCCAGUAGUC